rnacentral:sRNA from 1 species
GUUUCAGAAUUCCCAAGCGCCU